rnacentral:rRNA from 1 species
ACGGGGGGAGCGAGCGUUGUUCGGAUUUAUUGGGCGUGAAGGGCGCGUAGGUGGGUCUUCAAGUCAAAUGUGAAAACCGACGGCUUAACCAUCAGCCUGCAUUUGAUACUGUCGAGCUGGAGUACGGGAGAGGAUAGGGGAAUUCCUGGUGUGGCGGUGAAAUGCGCAGAGAUCAGGAAGACCAGCGGUGGCGAAGGCGGGGCGAUGGGACGGUACUGAAUCUGCGUCGCUGUAGCGUGGGGAGCUAGUAG